AGUAGUGAUAUUAAUAUACUGCUUUACCACAUUGCGGAAGUUACAGAAUAGGCAAAAAAUGAUAACUUUAUGGCGAAUCAUCAUUGCCAUUGUCGUCGUAAUGUCUAGAAAACGCUCUAGCAUCGUGGGUUUCCCCCGAAUUAUUUCGAGGGAAAUUAGAAUACAUACUCUUAUUUUGUCCACUGGUUAUCAAUACAUACUCUUAUUUUGUCACGCAAGGCUGCCCUAACCGAACAGUUUGUACAUGGACAGUCUCCUCGCUUUGAAAAGACAAAUCCUUUAAAUCCUCUCAAAAUAGCCAAUCAUUCUGAAACUGAUCAGAUGCCGUUAGGGAUACUGAUCAGAUGCCGGCGGUAAUGGUGGUGCGGAUGGUGAUAACAGCGGUGACGCUAACGAUCAAAGUGGGGAAACAGAACAGACCACAGCGGAAAUUAUGUCGGCGGGAAAGGCGGUGCUGCUUACAAUGAAAUUUCUGUGGCCACGGCGGUCCGACGCCUGCACGGUAGCCGACGUAUGAGUAUUACUCAAGACGACUUAAGUUCAUGCAUGGAAGAGGCGGAUACCGCGAUAACGGUGGAUAGAAUGUGUUGCGUCAAUUAGACGGAGCUGUCGCAGCUAGCGGAAACACAGGGAUAGUCGUAUUGAAAAAUACUUCUGAGCCCUUGCAUUACCCUCCCGUUGAUAUUAGGCCAACAGACGUGGUGAUCCGGGUACCCGAAGGCGAGAGUGUGAGUCUUCAGUGUGGUCGCAAAACACCUGGCUACACUUUGCCCGAAGUCUUGAUUAGAUUCAACGGGAAACUGUUAAACUUUACGGAUGUCAAGCAUGUUGACUGGCGAGAAGCACACUACCACUGCUGCAGACUGUCAUCACGCGAGAAACAACCGAAAGCGGAAGACAUCCAGAUUAUUAGGAAUGAAGACUAUAACACUACUGGCGCGUUUCAGAUAAAACUGACACAUUUAACGCAUGCCCACGCAGGUGUAUACGAAUGCCUGGGUACGAAUGGCACCGAGAUUGUUGUAACCAAACGGUUUGUGGUCAGUCCCCUCCUUUUUCGCAACCAAGUGUUUCAACCGGGCAUGAACGUCAGCGCUGUUGUUGGAGAGCCGGCGCAGCUAGCCUGUUCAGUUCAGUUCAACACUAUGUCGGGAAAACUUCGAGACUUCGACGCGCGGUUCAUUUGGAGAAAGGACAAAUAUCUGAUGCAUGCUUUGGGUGUGCCAUCUUUUCGAAAGGCCGUAAUUAUGCCGCCUGGUUGGAAUGGACUAAUCAGUGCUCAGAUUGAUCAUUCCAUUUGCGAAUGUCACGACGCAUUGAUGUUCCAUGACGUGCGACCGGACGAUGCUGGGUUAUAUCAGUGCUUUUUUAAGAUAGACGAUGUAUUCGACGAGUGGGUUGUACAAAAUAUCUACCUGCAUGUGAACAUGCUUUGAAUUCAGUUAACCAUUGACCAUUGGUAAACUAUAAAUGUACCGUUCCUUCUAAUUGACGACGCUCUUAUAGGUAAAACUGUGAAGACUGAAGGACAAAAAUUAGUGCCAGUACUCCCCAAUAUCGGCAUUGUUGUAAGUCGGUAAAAAUUCCUUGUGCCCAAAUCAUUCCAAAUUGACCCGAUGGGAGAGUACCAUAGAUUAAAUCCGGAAUGAGCCGGUCCACUCAAAAAACGCACAAUGUUAGCCGCCAAGUAAGUGUGGCAUACCGUUGCGGCAAAACGACAACGGCGACAAAACGGUUUCGCUGCUAGCGCCACCCAGGUCCAGCUGGUUCAGCUGGUCCGGGGUCUUGCGGCAUGAAGAAAUUUACCGGCGAACCGGCGUAGGUGAAGAUGACAAACUUUGCGUCAGAUAUAUGGGCAGCGUGCGAUGAGCAUUGGACGAGGAAGUAAACGAGAUCAACGGUGAUGGAUGGAAGGAGCAGGAUGCCGGAAUCGUUUCUCCACUUUUGCAACCGGUGGAUCUUUGAACGUACAAAUUAUAAUUAAUGCUUUGUUGCUCAUUUCAGCGCAGAGAUAUCGCGACAAUUGCUUGGAGUUUUGUAACGAUAGCGUUCGUAUUUAUUGAUGCGGGUUUGGUACAGGCGAAGCCGCUCCUUCAAAGACCCUUAGUUGACGAGCUGACCAAAACAUGGAAAAGCUUCCGAAAGUACUCGUGCCAAGGUUGCUUUUUCGCAUUAUGUCGCCAUAAAAGAUCUAAAAAACAAAUUGAAAAAUGUGCUCCCACCCGCAGAUGCUGCAAAGGAGGUGCGGGACUACCGAUUAGCUAUGCGCCUCUGUGACAGUACCUCGUUAUCCAUGAAAAACACGCUGGCGCGCUCUGGGUAAUUUUCAAAUUACCUGGUCAUAACUUUUAUGGAACAACAUAAGGCCUACUAGAGUAGAGUAGGGUUGCUGCAAUUUUUCUCACCUCCCACUCAGGACAGACUGCAAUAAAAGUUUAAACUAUGUAAACAAUGGAAAACUGUUGAUGAUUAGGUGUCACGUUUCAACGCUAGAUAGCAUAAUUAAUUUUAUUUUACUCAAACUAUAAAUAAUGAACAAGAUUUUAUAAAAGAAGUUGUGGCCGUCGCUGCAAUUAAUAGUUCUUUUGAUAAGAUUUGCGGCUUAACUGAUAUUUACUGGCAAGCAUCCUUUCGGGCAUUAUAGACUAUAGAGUGCACUGGCAGAACAAGGUUCUUUGCACUGCCAGCGCAGUUUCCAGGCACCAACUGGGCCAGUGAAGAGUUCCUGCAAUGAUGCAGUGCUUUAUAAAUCGUAAAUGCUGUCAAAACUCACCAGGGCACAUUUUCCGGGUCCAAAUUCAGAAAAAUCUGAUCUUUGGCAGAAACAUAGUAUACCAUCUUAGUAUAUUUAAAAAAAUAAUUUCAGCUGCUGGCACGCAAAGGGCGUGGCCAAACAAAGUUAAUAAGUAAGUAAUAGUACAUACUAUUGCACUGCACUAGUGCAGUACUCUAACAGCUGUUUGUAUCAGUGUAAUAAUAAUAAAUCAGGAAAUUUUCAUUUUUUGCCGAAUGACAGUGUACGACUGUAGCACGCUUAAAAAUAUUUAACUUAAUUAUUUAUGAGAAGUUCGGGAGCACACUGCAGACAGUGAGGAAAAGUAAAAUCCAGAAUUGAAAUACAGUGGCAGUAUGUGGUACUUACUGUUGCAGUACCGCAAAGAAUCGCAGCUACAGGAUGGUUUUUCUACUGUGUCGUCUUAACGUUUGCAGAUGAAAUUUUUCAUUAAUCAUAAUGUGGCAAAGUACUACGUUUCUGCAAGAGGUGAAACUUUUUUGAUCUGCUGUUAUUUUAUAAAAAGCCUGUGCGGGUAUUGCGCUAGUGCAUUGUAAUAACAUGCAGUAUUACUCGCUUAUUAAUUUUUGUUUGGCCACGCCCUUUGGGUGUCAGCAGCUGAAAUUAUUUUUUAAAAUAUACUACGAUGGUAUACUAUGUUUCUGCCAAAGAUCAGAUUUUUUUUAAUUUGGACCCGGAAAAUGUGCCCUGGUCAGUUGUAUUAGUAGUAGUACUACUACUGCCGUACUUUGGUUGCGUCACAAUGCUAUUUUGCUCUACAAAAUUAAUUAAAAAAUCAGGUGAACUACUUAAUACACAACGUAAACAAUGUGUACCUAAUUUUCGCUGCCCGAAGCACUGGUAUCACGCAAUCGUAUCCAUUAAUCAGCAAGAUAAUUUGCUUAAUGGCGAUGCCACAAGCGGCGGAAGUUGCAGCCGUAUUACUAGGCAGUAUACAGAAAUGCCACACCUGCUUGGGAAAUGAGUGGCAAAACUGUCACCGGCGCAGCACAACGGCCGGGAUACCAACUCCUUCUCCCUCCAGCGUCUAUGAUUUCGCGCAUACCGUUGUUUAAUUAACGCUUUCCCAUUGAGUCGGUUUCUUAUGAUAAGCGGCGGUUUUAAUUUACGCGGUGCGCAAAAGCGGUUGUGUAAUGCCGGCCAGGGCGAAGAUCGGUUGCUUUCUUUUAAUUUUUAAAGGAAUUUUCGCGCAGUGUACUGCAUUCGCACUGCUGUAGAUUUGUCACACCAUAAUGUUCCUAUCACUAAACUGGACUCAUGCACCUAGCCGCAGUGCAAUCCCUCAGCCGAAUUAUUUCGCUUGGAACCGUUCUUUGGCGGAAAAUGUUACGGCACACUUUCCGCUGAACUUCAGCGGUGAAUUAUCGUUAUGGUAUGCGGUGUCCAUGGUGUUCUGCAUCCUGGGCGGUACGUUGUCGGUCAUGUUAACGGGGGCUGUGUGGAAGCAAUGGAAACGGUCCAGGCUGAGCAACCACCACAGUGGGACGAGGCUACUGAUUGUUCAUGCCACCGGAGUCGAAAUGUUGAUGUGCUGUCUAUGGGCACCGAUUACCUUCACCCAAGUUUACUACGGACAGUAUCCAGUAAGGCGCAUUUUUUGUAAAUACCUUUUCAAAUUACGUAUAACAACGUCAGUACACAGAGCUGCCGCUUCACUGAAAAGAAAAAUUACCACAGUCGUGCCUCGUGCGUCCGGCGCACUUCCUAGUUCCUACCGGAUGCUCUUGCACGUUCCCUAGAAUCGGUCGACAACAUCCACCAGACUGCAUAGAUGCUGAGUAAAAAUGGAAGCCUUUGGGAUAUAAUUGUCUUGUUGACAAUUUUUAUGCAACCGCUUCCUUUUUCUAGACGGUAUCACGACGGUAUGGUCAUCUGUAGUCAUGUGACAUUUAAAAUAAAAAUUUUAUAGAAAACAGAACAGCCUUCUUUGACAAAAGUUCAACGGUACCCAAAAACUAGCGGGUUUAUCGCGUUCACUGAAUUUGAAUUGGCCAAUGUCAAAAGCAGGAAGGACAUUUCAGAGAAAAAAAAUCUAAGAAGAAGGAAAUUUUCUGGAGUCAAAAGGAGGAAAAAAAUUUUCACUAUCAAAACAUUUCCAACAUAUUUGUUUGCAGCUGUGUAAAUGUUUAUGAACAUACAGAGGCGUUUAACCGAAUGUCUUACAAAGAUAAGUUUUAACAGAACUCCCCAUGUUUUUAACUUAACUCUCGGUUGCGCUAACCCUAAGAUAUACGAGUAUACUUGGCAUGAUGGCACAGACAUCAUACGUGACAGCAAACAUGCAGCAUCAUCGAAAAAGAAUUAAUUAUAGAAGUUCUCAAAAUAACAAAGAAACAAAUCCCAAAUUUUACAAGGUACUUAACUACUUAUAUAAGUAAAAAAACCAGCCUUCGGGAAAACAAAAAACAACACCAAAACACGAGUAAAUUGUGUUGUGCUCUAACCAGCAUCAACGUAAAAAGUCAACUACAACAAAAUCGUUUUGCUGAGUAGUAUUCCGGUUGCUGAAAUACCGUGAAUUAAAAUGGGCUAAAUGGACGCGCGUAAUCAUGAAUCACACAUCUGGCAAGUAAGCACCUAGCUAAAGUUUCUGUUAUGCAGUUAUCCGAAAAUUUCCUUCCUCCCUUUGAUUUGGCCUUUGGAGCUUAAUCUAAAAGACUACGACAACAAACCCCUCCAGCGAACCCAUUUUAAAUAACAACAAUAACAAUAACAAAAUUUUAGAUAACCAAUUAAACCGAUUAAUAAUUUGAGGUCAUCGAUUGGUACACUUUCAGUGUCAAUCAGGUUGGCGUGCAUUAAAAAUUUAAGAACACAUCUUGUUAAAUCAUUUAGAAUACUGAUCUAAAACUUGUACUCGUUUAAAAGUCAGCUCCACCGGUUGCACAUUCAUCCAGUUUCCCUUCGCCCUAACCCGUUCCAUCGUAUACUGGUCAUCGGCUUUUCUGUCCCUCAACCGACUUAUGGCCGUCUACUUCCCCGCGACUUAUCGCGCACACUGCACACAACAGCGUGUCAGUCUGCUCAUCAUCGCCGUCAUCUGGUUAAUCUCCCUGGGCAUUUUUCUCCCGGUGGCUGCCGGAUGGGGAUCGCAGUUCCAGACCCUGCCACCGCAUAAUGGCUGCGGCAUCAAGUCCUUCACACCGCUGGCCAACUUGAUUACUCAAGUAAUAUGCACGUACGUACCGUUAUGCACGACGGGUGUUGUCUACGCCAGCAUCAUUGGAUUUCUUGUAUUUCAACGGAUGACUAAUCCUGCCGGCACCCGGUAUCCGUUAUUUCGGAGGCGCUCAUUGCAGCUGGCAUUUCUCUUGUUCUUCUCGGCUCUGUGGCACUGCGCCUGCUAUUUCCCACAAGCCACAUAUACGGUGUUUGACCGGAUACGUUGGUGCGCCAUCCCGGGUUCGCAUUAUGGAUACGGCUGAUAUUUAUCCUGGGCUACGUUGGAAAUCCGGUAAUUUUCUUCGGAAUGAAUUAUGAAUAUCGCUCCAUUUGUGGAGCUCGGAUUCGUUCGUUCCGCGCAAGCAUACUGUCACUACCCAAAAAGUGGAUCCCAAAUUACAUGAUUCGGUUAAGAUGCACGCUUUACGCAAGUCAAGAGUCCCGGCGGAUUUCACCCGAAGGGCACACGUGUUCCCAGAACAGUUGAGGUAUCCGAGUUCAGUGGCUAUUCAAAUUAUUCAACCCGCGCUUGGGGAUUCCAUAAUGUCUACAGUAGGUGUGGAGUAUAGCGGUGAUUAUUUGUCUGCGUUGCAAGAUGGAUGCAAGUUCCGCAUGCGUCAAACCCAAAACUGGGAUGAAGGGUCCGGCGACAACCUAUUGCUUCAUUUUUGAAGUGGAAGUGCACAUUGAACUUUUUUGUUUGGUGGAUUGUUUCGGGUUUUCUCUGGAUAAGUUUUUCCAUAAUGACGAUUGUUUCCUUUCCGUACUAUGAAGUUUUACAAAAUUUGUAUUACUUUUACUUUUAUUGUUUCUUGACCACUGUCAGAUGACGUAUCAUCAUCGACGACACAAGCGCGCAGCAUUGCAUACCAACAAAUCCCAAUGGCAACCCUAAUUUUUUUCAUCAAGCGCUUUUUACGGGAGUAAAAAGGAUUUUGGCGCUUUGCAGCUUUGCUUUAGCCGUUCGAUUUCAGUUAUUGUUCGCAUAGCAGUCCCUGGACUGUCCACUAACUGAUUUGAACUCUGAACGUCUAAAGUCAUUCCUGAAUUUAUGGCUGAAUUAAAAUGUUU